UGGGGAAUUUUGGACAAUGGGGGCAACCCUGAUCCAGCAAUGCCGCGUGUGUGAAGAAGGCCUUCGGGUUGUAAAGCACUUUUGUCCGGGAAGAAAUCGCACCUGAUAAUACCGGGUGUGGAUGACGGUACCGGAAGAAUAAGGACCGGCUAACUACGUGCCAGCAGCCGCGGUAAUACGUAGGGUCCAAGCGUUAAUCGGAAUUACUGGGCGUAAAGCGUGCGCAGGCGGUUGUGCAAGACCGAUGUGAAAUCCCCGGGCUUAACCUGGGAAUUGCAUUGGGGACUGCACGGCUAGAGUGUGUCGGAGGGGGGUAGAAUUCCACGUGUAGCAGUGAAAUGCGUAGAGAUGUGGAGGAAUACCGAUGGCGAAGGCAGCCCCCUGGGAUAACACUGACGCUCAUGCACGAAAGCGUGGGGAGCAAACAGG
rnacentral:rRNA from 1 species